rnacentral:tRNA from 1 species
GCUUGUGGCUCAGUGGUAGAGUGCUUGCCUAGCAUGCAUGAGGCACUGGGUUCGAACCUCAGCACCGCA